rnacentral:rRNA from 1 species
CAAUAGCGUGUAUUAAAGUUGUUGCAGUUAAAAAGCUCGUAGUUGGAUUUGUGGCGUACGGUGUGUUCCGGGCACUUGUUGUCUGAGUAACCUGCUGUUGCCAUCCUUGGGUGGAACCUGUGUGGCAUUAGGUUGUCGUGCAGGGGAUGCCCAUCAUUUACUGUGAAAAAAUUAGAGUGUUCAAAGCAGGCUUAUGCCGUUGAAUAUAUUAGCAUGGAAUAAUGAGAUAGGACUUUUUUGCUAUUUUGUUGGUUUGCGCAAAGAGGUAAUGAUUAAUAGGGACAGUUGGGGGUAUUCGUAUUCCAUUGUCAGAGGUGAAAUUCUUGGAUUUUUGGAAGACGAACUACUGCGAAAGCAUUUACCAAGGAUGUUUUCAUUAA